GUUGUAUGGUUAAGUGACUAAGCGUACACGGUGGAUGCCUUGGCAGUCAGAGGCGAUGAAAGACGUAGUAACUUGCGAUAAGCCCAGAUUAGGUAGUAACAACCAUUUGAGUCUGGGAUUUCUGAAUGGGGAAACCCACKUGCAUAAGCAMGUAUCMUUAMCUGAAUACAUAGGKUAAKGAGGCGAACCGGGGGAACUGAAACAUCUAAGUACCCCGAGGAAAAGAAAUCAACCGAGAUUCCGAAAGUAGCGGCGAGCGAAAUUGGACUAGCCCUUAAGCUUUACACGCGUUAGACGAACGGUCUGGAAAGUCCGACGAUACAGGGUGAUAGUCCCGUAGUUGACGACGUGUGUUCAGUGAAAUCGAGUARGGCGGGACACGUGAUAUCCUGUCUGAAUAUGGGGGGACCAUCCUCCAAGGCUAAAUACUACUGACUGACCGAUAGUGAACCAGUACCGUGAGGGAAAGGCGAAAAGAACCCCUGUGAGGGGAGUGAAAUAGAACCUGAAACCGUGUACGUACAAGCAGUAGGAGCAGGCUUUGUCCUGUGACUGCGUACCUUUUGUAUAAUGGGUCAGCGACUUAUAUUCAGUGGCAAGGUUAACCAUCUAGGGGAGCCGUAGGGAAACCGAGUCUUAACUGGGCGUUCAGUCUCUGGAUAUAGACCCGAAACCAGGUGAUCUAGCCAUGGGCAGGUUGAAGGUUGAGUAACAUCAACUGGAGGACCGAACCGACUAAUGUUGAAAAAUUAGCGGAUGACUUGUGGCUAGGGGUGAAAGGCCAAUCAAACCUGGAGAUAGCUGGUUCUCCCCGAAAGCUAUUUAGGUAGCGCCUCGGACGAAUACUACUGGGGGUAGAGCACUGUUAAGGCUAGGGGGUCAUCCCGACUUACCAACCCUUUGCAAACUCCGAAUACCAGUAAGUACUAUCCGGGAGACACACGGCGGGUGCUAACGUCCGUCGUGGAGAGGGAAACAACCCAGACCGCCAGCUAAGGUCCCAAAUUACUACUAAGUGGGAAACGAUGUGGGAAGGCUCAGACAGCCAGGAUGUUGGCUUAGAAGCAGCCAUCAUUUAAAGAAAGCGUAAUAGCUCACUGGUCGAGUCGGCCUGCGCGGAAGAUGUAACGGGGCUAAGUAGUAAACCGAAGCUGCGGCAAURURCUUUUGYAYAUUGGGUAGGGGAGCGUUCUGUAAGCGGUUGAAGGUGUGUGGUAACGCAUGCUGGACGUAUCAGAAGUGCGAAUGCUGACAUGAGUAACGAUAAAGGGGGUGAAAAACCUCCUCGCCGGAAGACCAAGGGUUCCUGUCCAACGUUAAUCGGGGCAGGGUAAGUCGACCCCUAAGGCGAGGCCGAAAGGCGUAGUCGAUGGGAAACGGGUUAAUAUUCCCGUACUUCUUACAAUUGCGAUGGGGGGACGGAGAAGGCUAGGUGGGCCUGGCGACGGUUGUCCAGGUUCAAGUGCGUAGGCUUAAGAGUUAGGUAAAUCCGGCUCUUUUUAAGGCUGAGACACGACGUCGAGCUACUACGGUAGUGAAGUCAUUGAUGCCAUGCUUCCAGGAAAAGCCUCUAAGCUUCAGAUUGUAAGGAAUCGUACCCCAAACCGACACAGGUGGUCGGGUAGAGAAUACCAAGGCGCUUGAGAGAACUCGGGUGAAGGAACUAGGCAAAAUGGUACCGUAACUUCGGGAGAAGGUACGCUCUYGAYGGUGAAGUCCCUCGCGGAUGGAGCURWYGAGAGUCGCAGAUACCAGGUGGCUGCAACUGUUUAUUAAAAACACAGCACUGUGCAAAAUCGUAAGAUGACGUAUACGGUGUGACGCCUGCCCGGUGCCGGAAGGUUAAUUGAUGGGGUUAGACUUCGGUCGAAGCUCUUGAUCGAAGCCCCGGUAAACGGCGGCCGUAACUAUAACGGUCCUAAGGUAGCGAAAUUCCUUGUCGGGUAAGUUCCGACCUGCACGAAUGGCGUAAUGAUGGCCACGCUGUCUCCACCCGAGACUCAGUGAAAUUGAAAUCGCUGUGAAGAUGCAGUGUACCCGCGGCUAGACGGAAAGACCCCGUGAACCUUUACUACAGCUUGGCACUGAACAUUGACCCUACAUGUGUAGGAUAGGUGGGAGGCUUUGAAGCACGUACGCCAGUAUGUGUGGAGCCGUCCUUGAAAUACCACCCUUGUAGUGUUGAUGUUCUAACGUCGACCCCUUAUCGGGGUUGCGGACAGUGCCUGGUGGGUAGUUUGACUGGGGCGGUCUCCUCCCAAAGAGUAACGGAGGAGCACGAAGGUGGGCUAAUCACGGUUGGACAUCGUGAGGUUAGUGCAAUGGCAUAAGCCCGCUUGACUGCGAGAAUGACAAUUCGAGCAGGUGCGAAAGCAGGUCAUAGUGAUCCGGUGGUUCUGAAUGGAAGGGCCAUCGCUCAACGGAUAAAAGGUACUCCGGGGAUAACAGGCUGAUACCGCCCAAGAGUUCAUAUCGACGGCGGUGUUUGGCACCUCGAUGUCGGCUCAUCACAUCCUGGGGCUGAAGUCGGUCCCAAGGGUAUGGCUGUUCGCCAUUUAAAGUGGUACGCGAGCUGGGUUUAGAACGUCGUGAGACAGUUCGGUCCCUAUCUGCCGUGGGCGUUGGAAGAUUGAAGGGGGCUGCUCCUAGUACGAGAGGACCGGAGUGGACGAACCUCUGGUGUUCGGGUUGUGUCGCCAGACGCAUUGCCCGGUAGCUAAGUUCGGAAUCGAUAACCGCUGAAAGCAUCUAAGCGGGAAGCGAGCCCUGAGAUGAGUCUUCCCUGAUACUUUAAGUAUCCUAAAGGGUUGUCGGAGACUACGACGUUGAUAGGUCAGGUGUGUAAGUGCUGUGAGGCAUUGAGCUAACUGAUACUAAUUGCCCGUGAGGCUUAACCAUACAACACCCAAGGGGUUU
rnacentral:rRNA from 1 species